rnacentral:rRNA from 1 species
UACGGGGGGGGCAAGCGUUGUUCGGAAUUACUGGGCGUAAAGGGCUGGUAGGCGGCCAACUAAGUCGGAUGUGAAAUCCCCAGGCUUAACCUGGGAACUGCAUCCGAUACUGGUCGGCUUGAAUCCGGGAGAGGGAUGCAGAAUUCCAGGUGUAGCGGUGAAAUGUGUAGAGAUCGGGAGGAACACCGGUGGCGAAGGCGGUCUUCUGGACGGUGACUGACGCUGAGGCGCGAAAGCGUGGGGAGCAAACGGG